GACGAACGCUGGCGGCGUGCUUAAUACAUGCAAGUGGAGCGACGAACCAGGGCUUGCCCUGGGCAGAGCCGCGAACGGGUGAGUAACACGUGGGUAACCUGCCUCGAUGACCGGGACAACCCGAGGAAACUCGGGCUAAUACCGGAUGUGCUCUCCUCACAUCAGUGGGAAGAGGAAAGGAAGCUUCGGCCUCCGCAUCGGGAUGGGCCCGCGGCCCAUUAGCUAGUUGGUGGGGCAAUGGCCUACCAAGGCUUCGAUGGGUAGCUGUUCUGAGAGGAAGAUCAGCCACACUGGGACUGAGACACGGCCCAGACUCCUACGGGAGCAGCAGUAGGGAAUCUUGCGCAAUGCGCGAAAGCGUGACGCAGCAACGCCG
rnacentral:rRNA from 1 species